GCUAGAGAGACUAGUGAAACUGCUUGUCGACACACUGGAAGAAAUAGUGCUAGAAAUAGAAGGGAUUGAGGUAGUGGAGGAUACAGCGCUAGGGCUGGAUGAAGUCAAAGUAGUAGACGACACAAGGCUGGAGCUGGAUGUAGUCGAUGUGGUGGAAGAAGCAGCACUAGAGCUAGAUGAAGAAGGAUCGAUAUCAACUGGAAUACAUUGAGAAUAAUAUGGACCAUUGUAAAUACAUUCGGAUCCUGGCUCACAGCAAGUUGGGCCAUUGUAAUUGAUGCCGCCGCACUGUUGAUAUAACUUUGCACAGGGUCCUGUAUAAUCAACUGGGAUACAUUGCGAAUACCAGGGAUUUGAAUAGAUACAAGAACUACCUACUACACAACACGUGGGGCCAUCAUAGUAAAUACCUCCGCAAGUCCCAUAUCUGGGUGAACACUGGCUUGCGCUUGUUUUGGAGACCAGAGACAAAGCUAAUGUCAAUACUGUCAAAAACAAACUUUGAGUAAGCAUUUUAAACGAGAAAAACACAAUACUAAUAGACUCGGAGAGAGUAAAUUUCUAAGAAAAGAAUAAGUUCAAGGGUUACUUUAAAGUUGCAGAGAGAUAUGUUUCUAUUUCUGAAUACCACGACAAAACAGACUUAUAGCAACAGUCGAUCCUGACAGAGUCGCCUUGCCCAUGACUUUUUAUACAUCACAGAAGUAAGACUUUCACAAACGUAGCAAUACUGCAAGGCAGAAAUGUAGACGUGAUCACAUGGUGGGCCACCAGUGUGCGAAUGAAAAGACACUAAAACCUUCUAACGUUCCCAUAAAACGAUCCAAUAUUCUUUCAAAUAAGAUCAUAUUAACCUGCUCUUGCAUUUCUAGACCAGGGCUCUCAUGUCUAACCGUCAGAUCAGGUACCCCUAAGACCGUGACUAUUUGAUUUUUCGAAUCAUACAACCUGCCUAUUUUAUCUUAUCAAAAAUUAUCAUACGAAAAGUGACAAGAUGGUUAGACAUUUGACCAUUACGACUAACAUCCGAAAUCCGCUACAAAAUACUACCUGUAAAGGUGGUUGGGAUAUUCACAUCAUUCCUCUAAGUAUAUUGUCUAGGUACUUUCUCAGGGAAAAUGGUACAUAUUUAUUGUGUUUGCAAAGCAUCAUCAACUGACAUAUUUUGAUUUGUGAAAACACAGGGAGUAUGUUAGGGGCAUGCGGCAAUGAUUCCUGCAAUUGUUAUGUUAUAGAACUUUGUCAAAAUUGUAUGGCAUAAAGUUCUUUUGAACGAAUUAGAAUAUUUAGGUCAUCAUCAAUGUCAAAACAGCUUUACAUCGGCCUUAACCUUCAUUUUGCCGCGGUUAAAGAAAGUGAAGAAUUGGUAUUUUCUUUUAUUCUAAUCUAUUACAUUUAUCAUAUAUCGUUGAUCGAAUUGUGCUUUAAUAUUUUUUUCUUAUUUUUAUUUAUUUUUUCUUAUAUAUAUAUAUGAACAUGUUAUUUGGGUUUUCUGCCUUUUUUUUUAUUUAUUUUAUUAUUUUUUUCUUAGGUCUUUUCCAAGGAUCGAAACUUCGGCAGAAGUAGCGCAUCAUACGGUACUAAAAGUGGGCUGGCACAAUCGACAUUUUUUCAAAAAAUAGCUGCCGAUGAACCAAUUAACAAUUUUUAUAGUAAAAAUUACAAUGCAAGUAGUAUAUGAAAACCAUUAACAUUAAGUGAAUAUUGUAAAUUAUAAACACAUUCAGAAUUAGGCUAUAAAAAAGUUAUAGUGUUCACCAGAACAUUACUUCGUUAAUAUUUAUCAAGGGAAAGCACUCUAUUAUAUGAUAAAUAGAUUUCCAGUUAUAAGCGAUGCAAUGCAGUAAUUGGGUUUUCCGAGAUGCUUUACGUUUCCUUUUAAGACAAAUUGAAUUCAACAUAGGUAGAUGCAUUCAUGUAGGAGUACAGCUAACUCUUGCAUUGGUUUUUAAAAAGCAUAAAAAAGAAAAAGAAAAAGAUAUUGCUAAUUAUUACAAUCGCCAAAUUCAUAUAAAUGCAA
rnacentral:lncRNA from 1 species